GAUACAGUAAUGUCCCCAUAGACCAAGUGUGCAAACUCCAUCUCUUUUAGAUGUCGGAGAUGAUAUAGGAGGUACUCUGCAUGAAAAGCCAUCAAGUACUAUUCCUAAGUGACUGGAAAGGGCAGGGUGGUCUGCUUGAGUUGCCACCAGCGAUCUGCUUCUCCCACCAACAUGUAGGUAGUAAGGAUGGCCUUUUGUUCGGGGAUCACCCCGAGGGUUUUGAAGGCCUUCUCUAUCUCAGAUAACCAGAACUCAGCCUCUUCAAAGGAGGAUCCCCCUGCAAAAGUAGAAGGAUUUAGUCUUUUAUACCUUUAUAUGUAGCCUGAGUUCAUCAUGAGAGGAGUUGGGUCUUAUAGAUGAGGGACUGGGCUGGGCUAGGCUGAGGAUGGACUGGAUGGCCUACAGUGGUACUUGAUGAUACAGUGGAGGCACCGGACUAUAC
rnacentral:lncRNA from 1 species